UACGUAGGGGGCGAGCGUUGUCCGGAAUUAUUGGGCGUAAAGGGCGCGUAGGCGGCCAUUUAAGUCUGGUGUGAAAGUGCGGGGCUUAACCCCGUAAAGCAUUGGAAACUGGAUGGCUUGAGGACAGGAGAGGAAAGUGGAAUUCCUAGUGUAGCGGUGAAAUGCGUAGAUAUUAGGAGGAACACCAGUGGCGAAGGCGACUUUCUGGACUGUAACUGACGCUGAGGCGCGAAAGCGUGGGGAUC
rnacentral:rRNA from 1 species